AUUGAACGCUGGCGGCAGGCCUAACACAUGCAAGUCGAGCGAGCGGCGGACGGGUGAGUAAUGUAUGGGGACUGCCCGAUAGAGGGGGAUCACCUCUGGAAACUGUGUCUAAUACCGCAUUCUAUCGUAUCCCCCAUAUGGGAUUAGCUAGUAGGUGGGGUAAAGGCUCCCCUAGGCGACGAUCUCUAGCUGGUCUGAGAGGAUGAUCAGCCACACUGGGACUGAGAAACGGCCCAGACUCCUACGGAGGCAGCAGUGGGGAAUAUUGCACAAUGGGCGCAAGCCUGAUGCAGCCAUGCCGCGUGUGUGAAGAAGGCCUUAGGGUUGUAAAGUACUUUCAGCGGGGAGGCGUUACCCGCAGAAGAAGCACCGGCUAACUCCGUGCCAGCAGCCGCGGUAAUUC
rnacentral:rRNA from 1 species